rnacentral:rRNA from 1 species
GACGAACGCUGGCGGCGUGCCUAAUACAUGCAAGUCGAGCGGAGCGGCGGACGGGUGAGUAAUGCCUAGGAAUCUGCCUGGUAGUGGGGGAUAACGUCCGGAAACGGGCGCUAAUACCGCAUACUAUCAGAUGAGCCUAGGUCGGAUUAGCUAGUUGGUGGGGUAAAGGCCUACCAAGGCGACGAUCCGUAACUGGUCUGAGAGGAUGAUCAGUCACCCUGGAACUGAGACACGGUCCAGACUCCUACGGGAGGCAGCAGUGGGGAAUUUUGGACAAUGGGGGCAACCCUGAUCCAGCCAUGCCGCGUGUAUGAAGAAGGCCUUCGGGUUGUAAAGUACUUUUGUUAGGGAAGCGGUACCUAAAGAAUAAGCACCGGCUAACUACGUGCCAGCCGCCGCGGUAAUAC